rnacentral:rRNA from 1 species
CGAACGCUGGCGGCGUGCUUAACACAUGCAAGUCGAGCGGUAAGGCCUUUCGGGGUACACGAGCGGCGAACGGGUGAGUAACACGUGGGUGAUCUGCCCUGCACUUCGGGAUAAGCCUGGGAAACUGGGUCUAAUACCGGAUAUGACCUCCUAUCGCAUGGUGGGUGGUGGAAAGAUUUAUCGGUGCAGGAUGGGCCCGCGGCCUAUCAGCUUGUUGGUGGGGUAAUGGCCUACCAAGGCGACGACGGGUAGCCGACCUGAGAGGGUGACCGGCCACACUGGGACUGAGACACGGCCCAGACUCCUACGGGAGCAGCAGU